GUUUAAAUAGUGUUCCCUGUUUUUAGUUCAGCGUCCGGUAUUGUACAUGUCUACCCGUGUUACCGGAACAACAAUGAAGUAAGCUGCAU